GACGAACGCUGGCGGCGUGCCUAAUACAUGCAAGUAGAACGCUGAAGGAGGAGCUUGCUCUUUCCGGAUGAGUUGCGAACGGGUGAGUAACGCGUAGGUAACCUGCCUGGUAGCGGGGGAUAACUAUUGGAAACGAUAGCUAAUACCGCAUAAUAGCAGUUAUUGCAUGAUAACUGUUUGAAAGGUGCAAAUGCACCACUACCAGAUGGACCUGCGUUGUAUUAGCUAGUUGGUGAGGUAACGGCUCACCAAGGCGACGAUACAUAGCCGACCUGAGAGGGUGAUCGGCCACACUGGGACUGAGACACGGCCCAGACUCCUACGGGAGGCAGCAGUAGGGAAUCUUCGGCAAUGGACGGAAGUCUGACCGAGCAACGCCGCGUGAGUGAAGAAGGUUUUCGGAUCGUAAAGCUCUGUUGUAAGAGAAGAACGAGUGUGAGAGUGGAAAGUUCACACUGUGACG
rnacentral:rRNA from 1 species